ACGGCCAUUCAUCUCUAGUGGGCUUCAUUCAGCUUUAACACUGCACCUGAUUAAACGACUGAUUACAAUCAGGACAGCUGCCGAUAAUGAAGGCUAGUAGACGUCCUUCUGUCUCACUACCCACAAUGGGAAUCUUCUUACAAUCACUGCCUCCGCAGCAUUGAGAAAAGACGUCGAAGAGGUCAAGCAUCCGAAGAGCAUCGCGUACGAAGACUGAAUGAAAUAGUGGCUCUAGAAGAACUAUUAACAGAGGAACUCUGUCCGUGCUGAGACGAACUUCCCUGGAUUCGAGUUAUGUAACACCCACAUGAUUUCACUUUCGGUGUUUCAACUCCACUGUGACGAAAAUGCGCAUCAUAUCAAUCACCACUUCUGAAUGGGUGUUGUCACGCAACGUAAUUUGCCAAUGAAAUUUGAAAUUAAAAAGAACUAAUUACGAGCUAAAAGUAUCACAGUGCAAAAUUUGAUAACCUAGUAAAUUGAAAAUGCCUAAAAA